GACGAACGCUGGCGGCGUGCUUAACACAUGCAAGUCGAACGGAAAGGCCCUGCUUUUGUGGGGUGCUCGAGUGGCGAACGGGUGAGUAACACGUGAGUAACCUGCCCUUGACUUUGGGAUAACUUCAGGAAACUGGGGCUAAUACCGGAUAGGAGCUCCUGCUGCAUGGUGGGGGUUGGAAAGUUUCGGCGGUUGGGGAUGGACUCGCGGCUUAUCAGCUUGUUGGUGGGGUAGUGGCUUACCAAGGCUUUGACGGGUAGCCGGCCUGAGAGGGUGACCGGGCACAAUGGGACUGAGAUACGGCCCAGACGCCUACGGGAGGCAGCAGUGGAGAAUAUUGCACAGUGGGCGGAAGCCUGAUGCAGCAGCGCCGCGUGCGGGAUGACGGCCUUCGGGUUGUAAACCGCUUUCGCCUGUGACGAAGCGUGAGUGACGGUAAUGGGUAAAGAAGCACCGGCUAACUACGUG
rnacentral:rRNA from 1 species